CGUCCACUUUUUUGUAAUGCAUGCAUUUUCUCCUGGUCUUUUUGUCCCGCCUCACGUGUUUUGGAAUAAUCUGACGUCGAGGUAAAAUAGAAUUAGAAGACAUACUCUUCAGGCAAGACAUGGAUGUAUGCAUAGACUUAAAAUAUUGUAUGUAAAAUUUAUUUUGGAACAUGAUGCCCUCUCAUUCAUUCAUGUCUUAUUUUCUCAUAGUUCUUUUUUUAAAUAUGUGCUGCUUCUAACUUUUUUUUUAUGUGUGAAGUGAGGUAGUGGAGAGAACUAAAAGGAGUGAAGCUAUUUAGUCCCAAUAUUAUUUUUGAUCGGGUGAUGCUAUAUAAUUUUAAGAAGGAAAUGUAUCAUUGUCUUUUGAGAAAGUAGAGUAUAGAAACAAAAUCUUAGGAAGAAAAUUAAUUAAGGGAUGUUUAGUGGUUGUCGAAGAAGACCAAAGAGAGAAUGUUUUGAUACAUGUUUUAGAAUUUAUCAUUUUAUUUGUUGUGCCAUUGCAAAGAGAGAAUGCUUUUUAUGUAUCUUUAGCUUUUCUCUAACCCAUCUAUUGUUCACCAAUGUCCCUCCUUUUUUAGUUCUGCUACUGCAUUAGGCCAUUGGCUACACCUUUGUGUGGCUUUGUUCUGAUUUUCCUUCCUCGUAUAUUGCAUGAAUAGAAUUUGGACAGUUGAGGCUGAGGUCUGUUAUUUGAAUGCAAUCCAAUUUUUUUUAAACAACCACGGUUCUUGAACUAAGAACAAUAAACAAGAUCCCAAAACGGCUAA
rnacentral:lncRNA from 1 species